GUUGGAAUGCUUCAGAUACGAGGAUGAUUUUCAGAGAUAGGAUUGGUUUUAGAUUUUUGGAUAUAAGAGUGGUUUUUGGAUACAAAAUUGAUUUUUGGAUACAAGAUUUUUUGUUGGAAGAGAGCCUUAAGAGAGGCUAAGGCUUUUAAAAGUGAAUUUCAAGACCUAUCUUUUUCUUUAGAACUCUUCUCUUCUUAUAGGCUUCAGUCUGCUUCGGAUUUCAAAUUCAUUUGAAUCCAUUGUCUCCUUUUAUUUGGCUAAUUGUUAUCUUUUGAGAGAAUCC
rnacentral:lncRNA from 1 species